rnacentral:rRNA from 1 species
UGGGGAAUCUUCCGCAAUGGACGAAAGUCUGACGGAGCAACGCCGCGUGUAUGAUGAAGGUCUUCGGAUUGUAAAGUACUGUCAUUGGGGAAGAACGGUUUUCUUGAAAAGAUUGAGAAGACAUGACGGUACCCAAGGAGGAAGCCCCGGCUAACUACGUGCCAGCAGCCGCGGUAAUACGUAGGGGGCAAGCGUUGUCCGGAAUUAUUGGGCGUAAAGGGCGCGUAGGCGGGCCUUUAAGUCCGGUGUGAAAGAUCAGGGCUCAACCCUGAGAGUGCAUCGGAAACUGGAGGCCUUGAGGACAGGAGAGGAAAGUGGAAUUCCACGUGUAGCGGUGAAAUGCGUAGAUAUGUGGAGGAACACCAGUGGCGAAGGCGACUUUCUGGACUGUAACUGACGCUGAGGCGCGAAAGCGUGGGGAGCAAACAGGAUUAGAUACCCUGGUAGUCCACGCCGUAAACGAUGAGUGCUAGGUGUAGAGGGUAUCGACCCCCUUCUGUGCCGCAGUUAACACAAUAAG